UGGAGGAGCGAUUUGUCUGGUCAAUUCCGAUAACGAACGAGACUCUAGCCUACUAAAUAGUUCGGGGACCCCCACAAAGGGGCCCCGCUUCAAAUUCUUAGAGGGACAGGUGGCGUUUAGCCACACGAGAUUGAGCAAUAACA
rnacentral:rRNA from 1 species